GUUGAUCCUGCCGGACCCCACUGCUAUUGGGAUAGGACUAAGACAUGCUANUCGAGCGCCUCCCAGCCACGACGGAGGCGCGGCGUACAGCUCAGUAACACGUGGCUAACCUGCCCUCGGGACGGGAAUACCCCCGGGAAACUGGGGCUAAUCCCCGAUAGGUGAAGAACUCUGGAAUGAGUCUCCGCCCAAAAGACGCUUAAAUCAUGCUUUUAGGCGCCGCCCAAGGAUGGGGCCGCGACCGAUCAGGUAGUUGGUGAGGCAACGGCUCACCAAGCCUUUAACCGGUGCGGGCCGUGAGAGCGGGAGCCCGGAGAUGGGCACUGAGACAAGGGCCCAGGCCCUACGGGGCGCAGCAGUCGCGAAAACUUUGCAAUGCGCGAAAGUGUGACAGGGCUAU
rnacentral:rRNA from 1 species